rnacentral:rRNA from 1 species
UUAGAGUUUGAUCCUGGCUCAGGAUGAACGCUAGCGGCAGGCUUAACACAUGCAAGUCGAGGGGCAGCGAGAUCAGUGCUUGCACUGAUUGUCGGCGACCGGCGCACGGGUGCGUAACGCGUAUGCAACCUACCCAUUACAGGGGGAUAACACUGAGAAAUCGGUACUAAUACCCCAUAACAUCCAGGGAGGCAUCUUCUUGGGUUGAAAACUCCGGUGGUAAUGGAUGGGCAUGCGUUGUAUUAGUUAGUUGGUGGGGUAACGGCUCACCAAGACAACGAUACAUAGGGGGACUGAGAGGUUAACCCCCCACAUUGGUACUGAGACACGGACCAAACUCCUACGGGAGGCAGCAGUGAGGAAUAUUGGUCAAUGGACGCAAGUCUGAACCAGCCAUGCCGCGUGCAGGAAGACGGCUCUAUGAGUUGUAAACUGCUUUUGUACGAGGGUAAACGCAGAUACGCGUAUCUGUCUGAAAGUAUCGUACGAAUAAGGAUCGGCUAACUCCGUGCCAGCAGCCGCGGUAAUACGGAGGAUUCAAGCGUUAUCCGGAUUUAUUGGGUUUAAAGGGUGCGUAGGCGGUCGGAUAAGUUAGAGGCGAAAUCCCGGGGCUCAACUUCGGAAUUGCCUCUGAUACUGUUCGGCUAGAGAGUAGUUGCGGUAGGCGGAAUGUAUGGUGUAGCGGUGAAAUGCUUAGAGAUCAUACAGAACACCGAUUGCGAAGGCAGCUUACCAAGCUACUUCUGACGUUGAGGCACGAAAGCGUGGGGAGCAAACAGGAUUAGAUACCCUGGUAGUCCACGCAGUAAACGAUGAUAACUCGUUGUCGGCGAUACAGUGUCGGUGACUAAGCGAAAGCGAUAAGUUAUCCACCUGGGGAGUACGUUCGCAAGAAUGAAACUCAAAGGAAUUGACGGGGGCCCGCACAAGCGGAGGAACAUGUGGUUUAAUUCGAUGAUACGCGAGGAACCUUACCCGGGCUUGAAAGUUAGUGACGGAUCUUGAAAGAGGUCUUCCCUUCGGGGCACGAAACUAGGUGCUGCAUGGUUGUCGUCAGCUCGUGCCGUGAGGUGUCGGGUUAAGUCCCAUAACGAGCGCAACCCCUACCGUUAGUUGCCAGCAGGUCAAGCUGGGCACUCUGACGGGACUGCCGGUGUAAGCCGAGAGGAAGGUGGGGAUGACGUCAAAUCAGCACGGCCCUUACGUCCGGGGCUACACACGUGUUACAAUGGCAGGUACAGAGGGCAGCUACCCAGCGAUGGGAUGCGAAUCUCGAAAGCCUGUCUCAGUUCGGAUUGGAGGCUGAAACCCGCCUCCAUGAAGUUGGAUUCGCUAGUAAUCGCGCAUCAGCCAUGGCGCGGUGAAUACGUUCCCGGGCCUUGUACUCACCGCCCGUCAAG